UCUUUUUUAAUAGUCAAAUAAAAUAAUAAUGAACGUCUAAACAGAUGAAGAACCCCUUAUUUAUUAGGUUGUUCGUAUUUCAUAAAGAAUGAGUUGUACUCUACAGGGCCUUUAUUUGCCUCUGGGCAGCCUAAGAUGUGGAUCCUACCUGUUCGAGACAGAUGGAUCCCACAAUUUCUCUCUAUUAUACUGCUCAAAUUUCACAAAAAUUCGAACAACGUAAUAAAAGGAGAUUCUAAUUUCCACCAAAUGGAGGAGAUGUCUUGCCAGUAUGGUAUGCUAAUUAGUUUAGCCAUAAAAGGAGUAAAUUCUUAUCGUAAGGAAAUCAGUCUCAAGCAGCAAGUGGCUGAUGCGAUCAUCUUGGAUUGGGAAUUUCUCAUCGCACUCAUAAUCCUGGUAAAAGCCAAGCUGUUAAUUCUCCAAUGUGCAAGUAAUGUUAUGUUCUCUAAAAGAAACCAUUUCUUCACUGAAUUUAUUAGUCCAACCAAUUCAGAUUCAAGAAGGAUUAAAAUUUAGAAUCAGUGCCUUUAAUUAUGGUUGAGAUUCAUAAUCAACAAACAAAGUUCCAUCAUUAGUGGGGGUUAUCUAUUGUACACGUUAUAUGUACUAGGGUUGCGCUCCUCCGUGCUUAUUAAUGAAUUGCGUUACUUAUCAUUUUUUUUUUUUUUAAACAAAGCAGGUGUAAAUUUUAGCAAAAGUACUAAGACUUUCUAUGGCCAACAGGUCCAGUUAGCCUGCAUCAUGAAGGAUUUUUUGUAUGUGGGCUUACCCCCUCUACCUUGUAGACAUAGUUGACUAUGCAUUUAACAUGUUACCAAUUUAUUC